UGAAGCCUGAUUGAUCGGCAUGGAUUAGCCCUGGCAGUAUGGGGCGAAGCCUGUUGGCCAGGAUUUUCGUGAAUAGCUUAAGAUCUGUGUUUAUUAGGGAGAUUGGUCUGUAACUACCGCAUUGGGUUAGGUCUAUGCCUGGUUUUGGUAGUAAGGUGAUCGUUGCGUUUAAUGCCUGGGGGGGGAGGGACUGACCUUGGUGUAGUGAGUUGAAGGAUUUGACGAAGUGGGGUAUAAGGGUUUCAGCGAAUGUUUUGUAAUAUUUGGUGGUGAGCCCGUCCGGGCCUGGGCUCUUCCCUAUUGGGAGAUGUUUGAUUGCGUGCCUGCAUUCCUCCUCUGUGAUGGGGAGUUCUAGGGUUAGGUUUAGAUUAUUUGGUAUAGUGGCGUGAAUUCUUUUCAUGAGAUAGGUUUGUAUGUCUUGUGCCGAGGGGGGAGUUUGUCGUAUGUUGUAUAGGGAGUGGUAAUAG